AGAAACGUAGGUUAACCAAACCAGUAGCCUUCAAAACUACAAACGCAGGCAUCUGACCCUGCAGUUUCU
rnacentral:tRNA from 1 species